rnacentral:tRNA from 1 species
AUUUAAAUAGUUUAAACAAAACAAUAAUUUGUGGAAUUAUAGAUGCUAUAGCUUUAAAUU